rnacentral:rRNA from 1 species
CCUACGGGAGGCAGCAGUAAGGAAUAUUGGUCAAUGGACGCAAGUCUGAACCAGCCAUGCCGCGUGAAGGAUGAAGGCCCUUGGGUUGUAAACUUCUUUUAUCUGGGAAGCGGUACCAGAGGAAUAAGCACCGGCUAACUCCGUGCCAGCAGCCGCGGUAAUACGGAGGGUGCAAGCGUUAUCCGGAUUCACUGGGUUUAAAGGGUGCGUAGGUGGGAAUGUAAGUCAGUGGUGAAAUCUCCGUGCUUAACAUGGAAACUGCCAUUGAUACUAUGUUUCUUGAAUUUUCUGGAGGUAAGCGGAAUAUGUCAUGUAGCGGUGAAAUGCUUAGAUAUGACAUAGAACACCAAUUGCGAAGGCAGCUUGCUACGGAUAUUGACACUGAGGCACGAAAGCGUGGGGAUCAAACAGGAUUAGAUACCCUUGUAGUC